rnacentral:rRNA from 1 species
CAGCAGCCGCGGGAAAACGUAGGGUGCAAGCGUUAAUCGGAAUUACUGGGCGUAAAGCGUGCGCAGGCGGUUUGUUAAGUCAGAUGUGAAAUCCCCGAGCUUAACUCGGGAACUGCAUUCGAAACUGGCAGACUAGAGCCUCGUAGAGGGGGGUAGAAUUCCAGGUGUAGCGGUGAAAUGCGUAGAGAUCUGGAGGAAUACCGGUGGCGAAGGCGGCCCCCUGGACGAAGACUGACGCUCAGGUACGAAAGCGUGGGGAGCAAACAGGAUUAGAUACCCCUGUAGUCCCUGUCUCUUAUAC